rfam:Mycoplasma sp. CAG:776 genomic scaffold, scf53
GGGGAAUUAGCUCAAAGGUAGAGCAACCCAUUGAAAUUGGGAAAGUUAGGGGUUCGAAUCCCCUAUUCUCCA